AGGUGGUGCAUGGUUGUCGUCAGCUCGUGUCGUGAGAUGUUGGGUUAAGUCCCGCAACGAGCGCAACCCUCGACCUUAGUUGCCAGCAUUCAGUUGGGCACUCUAAGGUGACUGCCGGCUAAAAGUCGGAGGAAGGUGGGGAUGACGUCAAAUCAUCAUGCCCCUUAUGACCUGGGCUACACACGUGCUACAAUGGGCGGUACAAAGGGUCGCGAACCCGCGAGGGGGAGCCAAUCCCAAAAAGCCGCUCUCAGUUCGGAUUGCAGGCUGCAACUCGCCUGCAUGAAGCCGGAAUCGCUAGUAAUCGCGGAUCAGCAUGCCCGCGGUCGAAUACGUUCCCGGGCCUU
rnacentral:rRNA from 1 species